rnacentral:lncRNA from 1 species
GAAACGGCCGGUUUUGGUACAGAUAGCCGCAGCACGCGGAAUAAAGGUCUAAAAAUCAUGAGAUCGGAAUUGGAGCACCUUGGAGUCAAGGAAUAAACUCCGGAAAAGACGGAUCGCGGUUCGGAGGUCGUUUGGAAGUCGCGCAAGAGUUCGGGCCAAACCGGGCAACGGUUGCCGCGGGAGGCCGAUUGCAAGUGACUACAAGCAAGCGGAGCGCGAGUUAAGGUGGGUUGGUUUACCGAAGCGACUAGGUCGCCUAUAUGUCUAAUUAUUAGACUUUCAUGUUGAUGCAUGCUAAUAAAUGGUAUAGUUGAUGCAUGAGAUAAAAUGCCAAGUAGUGAGCAUGUAAAAGUAAAGUUGUAUGCAUGUUGAUAAUGUGAUGCAAACGCUAAAUAGAAUGCAUUAUGAGCAUGUUGAAUAAAGCUAGAUAAUUAUGUGAUUUCAUGUAAGCAUAAUGCAUAGAAUGAAAUGCAUAUUGAUGAUAUAAGUUAAAAUGAGAUAUAGAAUGCAUGUUGACAUUGUGAGAUAAAUGUGCAUGAAACUAGGUUGAUAACCCUAGAAUGAUUAAAGUGAAUGAUGCUAUGCUAAAGUAUAAGUGAUAAGCAUGAUAUAAGAAUAGUAAAUGCAAGUGCAUGUUAAGAAUGCUAAGUAAGGAACAUAUAUAGGUGGACAUGAAUAAACCUAUAGAUCGAGUGGCAUUAAACCUAGUGUCGAGGACAUAGGUUAAAUAAAUGAGAUGUUGAACCUAAUGUAAAGAACAUAGGUUAAAUAAGAGUGAUGUUAAACCUAAUGUAAAGAACAUAGGUUGUGAAAUGAAAGCUGCUUAACCUAGAGUUAAGUGAACCUAGGUUGGAAAAGAAUGAUGAUCCUAGUGUAAUAAACCUAGGUUAAGAAUGUGAAAGCAAUAAACCUAAAGUAAUAACUUAGGUUGUGUAAAGGAUGUUGAACCUAGAGUCAAUUGGACCUAGGAGAUAAAUGCUUAGACCUAGAGAGGUCAGUUCCAUAGGGUUAAGACCAACCCUUGGUUGAUGUGAUAUGGAUUCCGGAAUCCCGCUGCUUGCUGCUACACCCAAAGUGGUGUCGGGUGUGUGCGACGAUUUCGCCGCCCAGGGGCUAGAGAACCAUUGUCGUGGCGUGUGUGCGACGAUUUCGCCGCCGGAUGGUUAGCCAGUUUGUGGAUCCUACCGCCUGUUGACUGAACCACUGUCGUGGCGUGUGUGCGACGAUUUCGCCGCCGGGUGACUAAGUCAUUGAACCUAGGCCGUUGUUGGGUGAGGUGCGAUUCGUUCGCCGCCAGACGGCUAGGACAGGAGUACGGUGAGCUGUUGCCAGCUGAGGUGCAUGUGAGAGUUCCUUCACCUCGAGCUAGACAGUGCGCGGACUAUCCGCGAUUGAUUGACUCAAGACCGAGUCGGGUGGCUUUGUUGACUAAGGUAAAGUGACCUUAGAGUAGAAUGCCAAAGGCUAAGAGAUAGCAUGGUUCAAGAAUGUUAAGAGUAAAGAACAGCUAAACGAUAAUGAAUAGCUAAAGAGUAAAGAAUGGCUAAAGAACAAUGAAUAGAUAAUGAAAGGAAUAGCUAAGAGCUAAAAGUAAGCAUUAAAUGGCAAGGAGUAAAGAAUGAUUAAGAACAUAAGUAGUGUUAAAGUAACCUACUUGCAUGAUUACAGGUAUUGCAUAUUGCAUUUCGUGAGGCAUGACAUGUAUUUCAAUUGAAUAUAUAUCUGUUGUAUAUUGUUGAUCUAACAUGUUGCAGUGCCUCGUUAGACCUGUUGGCUGAGCUUGUUCUCUUGGGUGGCUAAACCCACUGAGGACUAUGGACAAUAGUCUCACCCCCGUGUUGCUGUUUUGGGGGUACAGGUACACACGUGUGCGGCGCGGCGGCGCAAGGCGAGGACGUAGUUCUGCAGAUAGCGUCCUACCCAGAGACUGAGAUAGCAGUACCCGAGUUGGUGGUCUAGCUUGGGAGGUUUAAAAACAAGAACAAACUUUUGUUUAAGUUGUAAAAGAAUCUGUAAUGAUUAUGAUUGUAUUGGGAGGUUAAUUGUAAAAGAAAAAUUAUGUUGUAAAAUGCAUCUAAGUUGAAUGCUGUAAUAACUUAGUAGUUAUGUUUUUGAUACUUCCUUAUGCAAUCUGUGAAUGAAUACUGUUCCUAUUUGGAACCUCUCGUAUUGUAUUGAUUGCGACGCCUAGAACGUACAGGGGAAACUUUGCCCGUUCGGCGGUCUGCCGGCGGCGCCGC